rnacentral:lncRNA from 1 species
AGGACUCGAUAUUGCGAAACCAAACUUGGUAUAAGAGCUCCCAACACUGCUAAACUGGUCAUCGCUAAACCUUUAAAAAAAAAAAAAAAGCAUUCGCUGGUACCCAGAUUUCCACAGGAGUUAAACAUUUCCUGCGCAGCUAAAGCAAGUCUUACCAGUAGGAAACCGGAACUUGCUAGGACUAAGAAACUUGAGGCUAGGCUGACCCCAUGGUUGUUAUGAUUAGAAAUCCGAGGCCACUGGAAACCCGGAGCUGCUGACCAACGAGUCACAGGGUAACUUCGCCUUCGCAUGGGGAAACGGGCUGGUGCAGUGGUGUCAUCUUGGCUCAGUGCAGCCUCGACUUCCUGGGAUCCAGCGAUCCUCCCGCUUCAGCCUCUAGAGUAGCCGAGACCACAGGUCACCCCUCGCUGCCAGGCUCUCUUCCCGGUCCAGAGCCCACAGGAUCCUACAGGAGGGGCCAACAACUGCUUGCCUUUGAAACUUGAAACUCUCGGUCUAAGGUUCCUUAGGAGCGUAAAAGGCACAGCGUUUUCUGAUCGCAGCUUCAGGUCUCCCGCCCCUGUCCCGGUACCUCUCCUGCAGGACGGAACUCUGUGGGAACGCUCGUUGAUUCUGAUGGUUAACUGUCAGAUAUCCUUGAUAUUGGACAUAGGAUUUGGAAGAGGGCAGGAGAGAAAAAUGAACUGCAAGACUCCAGCACAAGAGGUGGGAUUGCUGGCAGAUGUCUGCUCCCUCUCCAAACCUAAUGAACAUCUCAAAGUGCCAUCCACUUUCCUAUACCCUUGAUCUGUGAAAUGGAUCACUGACGCUUUCUCUGUCUUUCCGGAAAUGCAAAACAGGUGAAUUUUCAAGCGCUUGAAUUGUCUCUCACACUUUUCAGUCAAGAGUGGGGCUAUAAACUCCUUCCUCAUAGGAAAUAAGGAACUGCCACUGCUUGGAAGUAAAACGUAUUUUUCCCAUAAGCUUUCACAUUUCCCAAAAAAAAUUAUACAUCCAGAUGUAAUCCCCCUAAGAGGCUUACAGACCCUACCAGGAGCGUUCCCACGCGAACGCAUCAUCUCCCAAUCGGAUCCUGAAAACACCAUGCAACCAAUUCCAUCCUUUUCUGGAUCAACCUGGGCAGAGGACAGGUGCAGAGGAGCCCAGAGAAGGGCCUUGACAAGUCAGGAGACCCAAUUUGGGGUCGCAAUUGUCACUCACUCCCCAGGCGUUUGCUUUGAUCUUCCCCUCCCACCAUACUACUUCUUCUGCUACCUGGUUUCUCCCUGGUAUUUGAGGAUCCUCCAAUUGCCUUCUGGUCUUACAGACGGGAGAAUAAAGGAAAAAUGGCAUCGUUUCCACCUUAAAAGUUACAAGCACUUCACCAGAUGGUACAGCCUAGGUAGAGCCUUUGUAAAACAAAUGCCCGCCCACUGCUUCACCCUCCUCAUUUCCACCUCAGCAAAGCAUUUUAGCAGAAAAGCUGACCCAGAGCAGUAGCUCCCUGCUAUAAUCCUAGCACUUUGGGAGGCUAAGUCAGGAGUAUCUCUUUAGCCCAGAAGUUCAAUACCACCCUAAGCACAAAGUGAGAUCCUGCCUCUACCAAAAAAAGAAAAAAAAAAUUGAAAAAUUAGUCGGAUUUGGUCUCGAGUGCCUGUAGUCCCAGCUACUCGGGAAGCCGAAGUGGGAGGAUCUCUUGAGCCCUAGAGAUGCAGGCUGCAGUGAAUGGUGAUCUGGGACCGCAUCACUGCAGUUCAGUCUGGGUGACAGAGGGAGACGUUGUCUCAGAAAAUAAAAUAAAAUAAAAAAUAACAUAA